GAUGAACGCUGGCGGCGUGCCUAAUACAUGCAAGUCGAACGAAGUGGGGACGGGUGAGUAAUACGUGGGUAACCUCCUAUAAGACUGGGAUAACUUCGGGAAACCGGACCUAAACCGGUUACUUAUCGGUUGAUCAUCGCUGGAUUAGCUAGUUGGUAAGUUAACGGCUUACCAAGGCAACGUUGCCUAGCCGACCUGAGAGGUUGAUCGGCCACACUGGAACUGAGACACGGUCCAGACUCCUACGGGAGGCAGCAGUAGGGAAUAGUGCGCAAUGGGCGAAAGCCUGACGGAGCAACGCCGCGUGAGUGAUGAAGGUCUUCGGAUCGUAAAACUCUGUUAUUAGGGAAGCGGUACCUAAUCAGAAAGCCACGGCUAACUACGUGCCAGCAGCCGCGGUAAUUC
rnacentral:rRNA from 1 species